rnacentral:rRNA from 3 species
CCUACGGGAGGCAGCAGUGGGGAAUAUUGGGCAAUGGAGGAAACUCUGACCCAGCGACGCCGCGUGCGGGAUGAAGGCCUUCGGGUUGUAAACCGCUUUCAGCAGGGAAGAAGCGAAAGUGACGGUACCUGCAGAAGAAGCACCGGCUAACUAUGUGCCAGCAGCCGCGGUAAU